AAUCCUUGUUGGUGCCAAUCACCUGAUGCUACGCUAAGGCUAUGCUAACUACUUCAGCUCAAUCCAUGUUGGUUCCAAUCACCUGAUGCUACGCUAAGGCUAUGCUAACUAAUUCAGAGGCCCAUUGCACAAAAGUAGGAUCAAAACCUCCGGGAUAAGUGACUCAGCUGAGCUCAAUGAAUCCAAAACAAG